UGAUUGAUCAUGACUCCUUCAUAUGCAUUCCUUGGAAAAUCUGAACAAAAUGAGUGAGAAUUCACUACAAUCAAGAAAACA